rnacentral:rRNA from 1 species
CCCAGACUCCUACGGGAGGCAGCAGUGGGGAAUAUUGCACAAUGGGGGAAACCCUGAUGCAGCGACGCCGCGUGAAGGAUGAAGUAUUUCGGUAUGUAAACUUCUCUCAGCAGGGAAGAAAAUGACGGUACCUGACUAAGAAGCCCCGGCUAACUACGUGCCAGCAGCCGCGGUAAUACGUAGGGGGCAAGCGUUAUCCGGAUUUACUGGGUGUAAAGGGAGCGUAGACGGCAGUGCAAGUCUGGAGUGAAAGGCGGGGGCUCAACCCCCGGACUGCUCUGGAAACUGUACGGCUGGAGUGCAGGAGAGGUAAGUGGAAUUCCUAGUGUAGCGGUGAAAUGCGUAGAUAUCAGGAGGAACACCGGCGGCGAAGGCGGCCUGCUGGACCGCGACUGACGUUGAGGCUCGAAAGCGUGGGGAGCGAACAGGAUUAGAUACCCCCGUACU